GAUGAACGCUAGCGGCAGGCCUAAUACAUGCAAGUCGAGGGGCAGCGCGGUAGCAAUACCGGCGGCGACCGGCGCACGGGUGCGUAACACGUAUGCAACCUACCUUCAACUGGAGGAUAGCCCGGGGAAACUCGGAUUAAUACUCCAUAACACAGGGAUCCCGCAUGGGAAUAUUGUUAAAGCUACGGCGGUUGAAGAUGGGCAUGCGUUCGAUUAGCUAGUUGGUGUAGGUAACGGCUCACCAAGGCUACGAUCGAUAGGGGGUCUGAGAGGAUGAUCCCCCACACUGGUACUGAGAUACGGACCAGACUCCUACGGGAGGCAGCAGUAGGGAAUAUUGGUCAAUGGGCGCAAGCCUGAACCAGCCAUGCCGCGUGCAGGAAGAAGGCCCUCUGGGUUGUAAACUGCUUUUGAUAGGGAACAAAUGCCACUUGCGAGUGGAGCUGAGUGU
rnacentral:rRNA from 1 species